UCGGGCCUGAGGAGGAUGAAUGCUACUGGCCACCAACAAGGAUGAACAUGGCAAAGGCGGUCAUGGAGCAACAGGACCCUCACACUGACUGGGCGACAUACAAGUUGACUGUCAAGAGAAAAGUUGCUACGUAUGAAAUUGCCCGCAGAAAAUUAGUGGAGUAUGAGCAAAACACUGAUGUACCAACCGAGUCUGAUUCUACAGUGAAGACUGGAAGGGGGAAGCGCAAAAAGAGGCGAGUGAUUUUGUCUAGUGAGGAUGAGGAUGAUG